GAUGAACGCUAGCUACAGGCUUAACACAUGCAAGUCGAGGGGAAACGAUAUUGGAAGCUUGCUUCUGAUAGGCGUCGACCGGCGCACGGGUGAGUAACGCGUAUCCAACCUGCCCAUCACUUGGGGAUAACCUUGUGAAAGUAAGACUAAUACCCAAUGACGUCUCUAGAAGACAUCUGAAAGAGAUUAAAGAUUUAUCGGUGUACGAUGGGGAUGCGUUCCAUUAGGUAGUAGGCGGGGUAACGGCCCACCUAGCCAACGAUGGAUAGGGGUUCUGAGAGGAAGGUCCCCCACAUUGGAACUGAGACACGGUCCAAACUCCUACGGGAGGCAGCAGUGAGGAAUAUUGGUCAAUGGACGCAAGUCUGAACCAGCCAUGCCGCGUGCAGGAUGACGGCUCUAUGAGUUGUAAACUGCUUUUGUACGAGGGUAAACGCAGAUACGUGUAUCUGCCUGAAAGUAUCGUACGAAUAAGGAUCGGCUAACUCCGUGCCAG
rnacentral:rRNA from 1 species